CAAGCCGGCUCUAAGACGCCGAUUUAUCGGUGUAUGGCGACGCUCGAGACCAAUGGUGUCUGGUCCGCCAGUCAGCAUGAGCAGACUCUGAACGGUGCGGCAGUGCAGGAGGGAGUGUAGCGCCGGUAUACAGCUACCACCAGACAUCCGUCCACCGGCCAGUCACCACUGAUCUACCAGCAAGAUAAGUGUUUCUUUUAUCG